GUCCCCGUCGGUUAACAGGAUAAACCCCAGACCUCCUAAGUCUGUACUAGAGGUUCGAGUCCUCUCGGGGACGCCA
rnacentral:tRNA from 1 species